rnacentral:tRNA from 1 species
GGGGUUGUGGCUCAGAGGUAGAGUGCUUGCCUAGCAUGCACGUAGCACUGGGUUCGAUCCCCAGCACCACA